AGUAACGAUAAAGCGGGUGAAAAGCCCGCUCGCCGGAAGACCAAGGGUUCCUGUCCAACGUUAAUCGGGGCAGGGUGAGUCGACCCCUAAGGCGAGGCCGAAAGGCGUAGUCGAUGGGAAACAGGUUAAUAUUCCUGUACUUGGUGUUACUGCGAAGGGGGGACGGAGAAGGCUAUGUUGGCCGGGCGACGGUUGUCCCGGUUUAAGCGUGUAGGCUGGUUUUCCAGGCAAAUCCGGAAAAUCAAGGCUGAGGCGUGAUGACGAGGCACUACGGUGCUGAAGCAACAAAUGCCCUGCUUCCAGGAAAAGCCUCUAAGCAUCAGGUAACAUCAAAUCGUACCCCAAACCGACACAGGUGGUCAGGUAGAGAAUACCAAGGCGCUUGAGAGAACUCGGGUGAAGGAACUAGGCAAAAUGGUGCCGUAACUUCGGGAGAAGGCACGCUGAUAUGUAGGUGAAGCGACUUGCUCGUGGAGCUGAAAUCAGUCGAAGAUACCAGCUGGCUGCAACUGUUUAUUAAAAACACAGCACUGUGCAAACACGAAAGUGGACGUAUACGGUGUGACGCCUGCCCGGUGCCGGAAGGUUAAUUGAUGGGGUCAGCGCAAGCGAAGCUCUUGAUCGAAGCCCCGGUAAACGGCGGCCGUAACUAUAACGGUCCUAAGGUAGCGAAAUUCCUUGUCGGGUAAGUUCCGACCUGCACGAAUGGCGUAAUGAUGGCCAGGCUGUCUCCACCCGAGACUCAGUGAAAUUGAACUCGCUGUGAAGAUGCAGUGUACCCGCGGCAAGACGGAAAGACCCCGUGAACCUUUACUAUAGCUUGACACUGAACAUUGAGCCUUGAUGUGUAGGAUAGGUGGGAGGCUUUGAAGUGUGGACGCCAGUCUGCAUGGAGCCGACCUUGAAAUACCACCCUUUAAUGUUUGAUGUUCUAACGUUGACCCGUAAUCCGGGUUGCGGACAGUGUCUGGUGGGUAGUUUGACUGGGGCGGUCUCCUCCUAAAGAGUAACGGAGGAGCACGAAGGUUGGCUAAUCCUGGUCGGACAUCAGGAGGUUAGUGCAAUGGCAUAAGCCAGCUUGACUGCGAGCGUGACGGCGCGAGCAGGUGCGAAAGCAGGUCAUAGUGAUCCGGUGGUUCUGAAUGGAAGGGCCAUCGCUCAACGGAUAAAAGGUACUCCGGGGAUAACAGGCUGAUACCGCCCAAGAGUUCAUAUCGACGGCGGUGUUUGGCACCUCGAUGUCGGCUCAUCACAUCCUGGGGCUGAAGUAGGUCCCAAGGGUAUGGCUGUUCGCCAUUUAAAGUGGUACGCGAGCUGGGUUUAGAACGUCGUGAGACAGUUCGGUCCCUAUCUGCCGUGGGCGCUGGAGAACUGAGGGGGGCUGCUCCUAGUACGAGAGGACCGGAGUGGACGCAUCACUGGUGUUCGGGUUGUCAUGCCAAUGGCACUGCCCGGUAGCUAAAUGCGGAAGAGAUAAGUGCUGAAAGCAUCUAAGCACGAAACUUGCC
rnacentral:rRNA from 1 species